rnacentral:rRNA from 1 species
UACAGAGGUCCCAAGCGUUGUUCGGAUUCACUGGGCGUAAAGGGUGCGUAGGCGGUCGGGUAAGUCUGGCGUGAAAUCUCCAAGCCUAACUUGGAAACUGCGUUGGAUACUAUCCGGCUCGAGGAAUGGAGGGGAGACUGGAAUACUUGGUGUAGCAGUGAAGUGCGUAGAUAUCAAGUGGAACACCAGUGGCGAAGGCGAGUCUCUGGACAUUUCCUGACGCUGAGGCACGAAAGCCAGGGGAGCAAACGGG